UGAGGUAGUUGGUUGUAUGGUUUGGCGUAAUAAUCAGCCGGGAGAUAACUGUACAGCUCUCUAGCUUCC
ensembl:miRNA gmo-let-7d-2 gmo-let-7d-2